UGAUAUUUUCUUACUAAUGUGAUAUUUUCUUACUGCUGUGUUUUUUAAAUCCUUUCAAAGGGUGUGGCUGGCAUGGAUGGACCAACAGGUCCCAAAGGGAAUGUGGGCCCUCAGGGCGAGCCAGGGCCCCCAGGACAGCAGGGCAACCCAGGGGCUCAGGGUCUUCCAGGUCCACAAGGCGCCAUCGGUCCCCCAGGAGAGAAAGUGAGUUGAAAUUCAGCUCUGGGUUCUCCUUCCUCAGCCGUGGAUUUGCAUUUUGCUCCUUCAGCUGCU
rnacentral:lncRNA from 1 species